UCUUGGAUUCUGCAACACUCAAUGUCUCUCCAAUAACAGCCAAUAAGAAACUUUGUGUUAUUCCUACUACGAAAAACUCCACAGACCUAAAAAGGAGUGUUUGCCAAGGAUUGGGUUCAAAUGAAACACCUGACAUAACUCCUGAUACCAUCCCUAAGAAAGAUUUCACUACUGGAACAGCUGAACCCAAACAAAAGAGGAAGUUGGCAUACUCUGUGGAUAUCAUUAAAGGACCAGACUGCAUUCUGCUGGAUAUAAUAAAUAACAAAAAGCAACCAGCUAAACUUCUUUUUAAACACGAUAAAAACUCGUGGUGUCACAGUAAGCCUUGGUCAAGUUUACCAGUUGAUAUACUUAUUCAUCUUUCAUGAUUUAAUUUUAACUCUUCAGCUUGUGGAUUUUUUCAUAACCAUGAAUUCAAAGGACAAAAUAACUUGAAAGAAUUAUUCAAAAUGAGCAGAAAAUUACUUGUUGUUUGCAAAAUAUUUAUAAUAUAUUGAAAUAAAACUGAAUAUUGUUUCAGGGUUGCUUGAGCUAUUGUAGCCACCUCUUGAUCAGAGUUGGCACUUCUUUUCCAACCAGAAUUUUUCAACCUUUGUUUUUCUUGUGAACAACAUUUUUUCCCCACCACUGUUGCAGCGCAGGCAUUCUUGGGUGGGGAGAGGGAAUUGCACCACCACCCUGCCCCGACCCUGCCCCCCACCCCACCUCCCAAAAAAUAUAAAUAAAAUUGUGCAAGGUCAAAUCUUGAAAUGAUUUUCAUCAUUAUGAGAGAGGACACCACAUCCAUCACUGGAAACGAAACAAAAUAAAAUUGUCCAUCCCUGAAAAACAAGAUCAGAUGAUUGAGAUCGUUAUAAGAACAACACACCACUGUUUUUUAGUCUAGUCAUUGUCUUGGGUUCAUUUAAGUUCAUAGUGAUUUUCCUUCAGUUGAUUAUUUUCAUUUUCUCCUACAUGAAUCUUAGUUGAGAACCCUUCUUACUGUAAACCACUUACACCACCAAAUAGCAAAAUAAAUAAAUUGUUCAUCCCUGAGAUCUAAGGCCAAAUAAUUGUAAUCAUUAUGAGCUCAAGAAAAGUUUACAUAAUUUACAUUUUUAUUACUUAAUGCACCAAAACAGCAGACUACAUUGUAGUCCUUUUCUUUGACACCAAGAAAAAGCAAAGUUUUAAAUCAACCAAAAUAACACCCAAAAAAAUGAGUUAUUUACAGUUUACUUAAAUAAACUGGAUUAAACUGGAUUUCUUGAGAAAAUUGGUAGCUGGUCACAGUUAACCACAAUUCCUUGAGGAAUGUCAGAUUUCAAUCAAACAUUUUGAUACCAAAAGACUGCUGUACUAUAUCAGUAUACAAUUUUCUGCAUUUUUUCUAAUAAUUUACUUGAAAGUGAAGGAAACAAAUAUUAUCUAAGUUGGGAUGAAUAAUGUUUAAAAUGUUUGCAAAUUAGAUUGCUGGCAGGGGUAAGAGAGAAUAAGUAUGCAACAGAACCAUAGUAUGAGGCAAACCAAGGCGCUUGCCUUAGUCAUUGUUUUUGUUUCUGUUGUUUCUUUUUUGAAGGGGAAAGUAGACCACUGCUAAAUAACUAAGAAGAGAAUUUAACCAUGGACCAUGCCUCAGCCAUAUUUU
rnacentral:lncRNA from 1 species